UUGAUAGGCCGGGUGUGUAAGCGCAGCGAUGCGUUGAGCUAACCGGUACUAAUGAACCGUGAGGCUUAACCUUAC
rnacentral:rRNA from 1 species